rnacentral:lncRNA from 1 species
GGACUCUGUAUGCAGAAAAGUUUCUGAAGAUUUGAAGUGCAAUUGGAAGCAUGUGGUGAGGAGCCAGAAGACAGAGAAGAUUUGAACCAAGCUGUUACUUCUCUCAUGAAUCAUGAAUGGACAUAAUGUAAAAACUGUAUUCAUCUAGACACCAAUCUUCUUAAUUCCAAA